CUACGUGCCAGCAGCCGCGGUAAUACGGAAGGUCCAGGCGUUAUCCGGAUUUAUUGGGUUUAAAGGGAGCGUAGGCGGAUUGUUAAGUCAGCGGUUAAAGGGUGUGGCUCAACCAUGCAUUGCCGUUGAAACUGGCGAUCUUGAGUGCAGACAGGGAUGCCGGAAUUCGUGGUGUAGCGGUGAAAUGCUUAGAUAUGACGAAGAACUCCGAUUGCGAAGGCAGCUGACGGGAGCGCAACUGACGCUGAAGCUCGAAGGUGCGGGUAUCGAGCAGGAUUAGAUACCCUGGUAGUCCGCACAGUAAACGAUGGAUGCCCGCUGUUGGUACCUGGUAUCAGCGGCUAAGCGAAAGCAUUAAGCAUCCCACCUGGGGAGUACGCCGGCAACGGUGAAACUCAAAGGAAUUGACGGGGGCCCGCACAAGCGGAGGAACAUGUGGUUUAAUUCGAUGAUACGCGAGGAACCUUACCCGGGCUUGAAUUGCAGAGGAAGGAUUUAGAGAUA
rnacentral:rRNA from 1 species